AGUGAACGCUGGCGGUAGGCCUAACACAUGCAAGUCGAACGGCAGCACAGUAAGAGCUUGCUCUUACGGGUGGCGAGUGGCGGACGGGUGAGGAAUACAUCGGAAUCUACUUUUUCGUGGGGGAUAACGUAGGGAAACUUACGCUAAUACCGCAUACUACCUACGGGUUAAAGCAGGGGAUCUUCGGACCUUGCGCGAUUGAAUGAGCCGAUGUCGGAUUAGCUAGUUGGCGGGGUAAAGGCCCACCAAGGCGACGAUCCGUAGCUGGUCUGAGAGGAUGAUCAGCCACACUGGAACUGAGACACGGUCCAGACUCCUACGGGAGGCAGCAGUGGGGAAUAUUGGACAAUGGGCGCAAGCCUGAUCCAGCCAUACCGCGUGGGUGAAGAAGGCCUUCGGGUUGUAAAGCCCUUUUGUUGGGAAAGAAAAGCAGCAGGUUAAUACCCCGCUGUUCUGACGGUACCCAAAGAAUAAGCACCGGCUAACUUCGUG
rnacentral:rRNA from 1 species